rnacentral:lncRNA from 1 species
GCAUGUUACAGGUUUGGAACUAAACUAAGUAUAUAUGAUAAUGAAAAAAACAACAAAAGCUUUUCUUCUUCUAAGUUGGCUUCACAUACUCCUAUGUCUAUCCUGUCAGGUUCGUGUCACAGAGGCUAGAUUCCGUCACUUAGGUCAGUCUCUUCUUAUUCCAAAUAUCUCUGUCACAUAAUAAGAUUUACUUACAUAAUAUGACUUGUGUGUUAAAAGGUAUAUGUGCAAAACCUUCCCCAUCAUGUGGAGAUUCUCAGGGAAGCCAUCAAGUUAAUGGACAACAAGAUAAGCCUUGUAAACGCAUUCCAAGACCACCUCCUCCUAGAGACUGCUAGCAACGUUAUAUCGUUAGGUUCGACCAAGAUUUUCAACAGAAGCUUCUCCUUUUCAUCUUUUUUUUGGGUAAAAUCUCCUUUUCAUCUUUUCUUUCAAGGAAUCAUGUUUACAAUGUAAAAUAAAUAAAUAAAAAACCAAGCUACUAGAGGUUAUAUAUAGUUUGUUUUAUAUGUGAUCAAACAUUCAUACAUACAUAGGGAAAUCUAAAUUCAUGAACAUGUGUGAUGUGGCCAAAACGUAAAUUAAAGGACUCAUGAAAUGUUUGACAAAAAAAAAGGACUCAUGAAAUAUAAUGGAUAUGUAUAAAGCAGAGUAAAAUUUCUUUUUAAGCUUUCACCCAUAGAAGGCGACCUCUUGAAACAAGUGCGAGUGCGACAGAGACUGAGAUUUAUAAUACCAUCUGUCAAUCAAUAGACGUUUAUUGUUAUGUUUUAAUAUAAUCAACAACAAAAAACAUUUAUAUCACCUAGCAAUGAAUCACCAAAAGAGGCAAUUACUUACUUAGACCGCACCAGUUCUUAAAAAUAUGUGUUUUAGAGGCAUGCAUAAUGCAUCUAAGUAAUCUGAUAAACAAAAUUAGAUAUCUUUAUUUGUUUAAUCUUUGGUUCAACGAUAGGUUUUGUCGAUCAUCGACAUGUUUCAGCAAUCAAAUCGCUGGCCUAGUGACAUCAGUCUAAGUCGCACCUUCUCUUGACUCUUAGGUUGAAAAAUAUGGGAUUUGAUUUAAGUUUUUUAUAUGAUUUUCUCCACAUAGCUGAUGUACAAAAACGCGUUACGUAGAAAACAAGAAACCGUUGAAGUUUGAAUUCAAAUUUAUUUAUUCACUACAUGUUUGAGUUUUUUUUUUUAGCUUUAGUUUCCAUAUUUAUCAAUCUGCUUGACUUCCUACUAUAUAUAUUCUACUGGUCGACACUCGGCAUGUUACAGGUUAGGAACCAAAACAAGAAUAUCUGAUAAUGAAGAAAACAACAAAAGCUUUUCCUCUUCUUCUAAGCUUGAUUCACAUACUUCUAUGUCUAUCCUCUCAGGUUCGUGUCAUAGAGGCUAGAAUCCAUAACACAGGUCAGUCUCCUCUUUAUUCCAAAUAUCUCUGCCGCAUAAAAGAUUUAAGUAACAUAUCGGCUCGUGUGUUAAAUUAAAAGGUGUUCGGAUAUGCGCAAGACCUCCCCCUCCUUGUGGAGAUGAAUCUAUGGGAGGCGAUCAAGUUUCGGGACAUAAAGAUAAGCCUUGUAAAACCAUUCCAAGACCUCCUCCGCCUAAGUGCUCGUAGCCUCUCUUGUUCAUCAUGUUUACAUUGUAAAGUAAACUAUACCUUCACCCGUGCGACCGG